GGGGAUAUAGCUCAGCUGGGAGAGCGCGUGAAUGGCAUUCACGAGGUCAGGGGUUCGAUCCCCCUUAUCUCCA
rnacentral:tRNA from 4 species